rnacentral:tRNA from 1 species
UCCUGUGUGGUCUAUAGUGGCUAGGGUUCGGCGCUCUCACCGCCGCGGCAGGGGUUCGAUUCCCCGCACGGGAG